CAAGUAAUUAAGUGCAUGUGGUGGAUGCCUUGGCAGUCAGAGGCGAUGAAAGACGUGAUAGCCUGCGAAAAGCUCCGGGGAGGCGGCAAAUAUCCUUUGAUCCGGAGAUGUCUGAAUGGGGGAACCCACCUACUUUAAGGUAGGUAUUGCAACAUGAAUACAUAGUGUUGCAAGGCGAACGAGGGGAAGUGAAACAUCUCAGUACCCUUAGGAAAAGAAAUCAAUUGAGAUUCCCUCAGUAGCGGCGAGCGAACGGGGAUCAGCCCAUUAAGUUAUGUGUGUUUUAGUGGAACGCUCUGGGAAGUGCGAACGUAGAGGGUGAUAUUCCCGUACACGAAAGGGCACACAUAAUGAUGACGAGUAGGGCGAGGCACGUGAAACCUUGUCUGAAUAUGGGGGGACCAUCCUCCAAGGCUAAAUACUCCUGACUGACCGAUAGUGAACCAGUACCGUGAGGGAAAGGCGAAAAGAACCCCUGUGAGGGGAGUGAAAUAGAUCCUGAAACCGCAUGCAUACAAGCAGUGGGAGCACCUUCGUGGUGUGACUGCGUACCUUUUGUAUAAUGGGUCAGCGACUUAUAUUCAGUAGCAAGGUUAACCGUAUAGGGGAGCCGUAGAGAAAUCGAGUCUUAAUAGGGCGUUUAGUUGCUGGGUAUAGACCCGAAACCAGGCGAUCUAUCCAUGAGCAGGUUGAAGGUUGGGUAACACUAACUGGAGGACCGAACCCACUGUCGUUGAAAAGCCAGGGGAUGACUUGUGGAUAGGGGUGAAAGGCUAAUCAAGCCUGGUGAUAGCUGGUUCUCCCCGAAAGCUAUUUAGGUAGCGCCUCGGACGAAUACCAUAGGGGGUAGAGCACUGUUUCGGCUAGGGGGUCAUCCCGACUUACCAAACCGAUGCAAACUCCGAAUACCUAUGAGUACUAUCCGGGAGACAGACUGCGGGUGCUAACGUCCGUAGUCAAGAGGAAAACAAUCCAGACCGCCAGCUAAGGCCCCAAAAUCAUAGUUAAGUGGGAAACGAUGUGGGAAGGCAUAGACAGCUAGGAGGUUGGCUUAGAAGCAGCCACCCUUUAAAGAAAGCGUAAUAGCUCACUAGUCGAGUCGGCCUGCGCGGAAGAUGUAACGGGGCUAAAACUAUGUGCCGAAGCUGCGGAUGUAUACUUUGUAUACGUGGUAGGGGAGCGUUCUGUAAGCCGAUGAAGGUGUGUUGAGAAGCAUGCUGGAGGUAUCAGAAGUGCGAAUGCUGACGUGAGUAACGACAAAACGGGUGAAAAACCCGUUCGCCGAAAGACCAAGGGUUCCAGUCCAACGUUAAUCGGGGCUGGGUGAGUCGACCCCUAAGGCGAGGCCGAAAGGCGUAGUCGAUGGGAAAAUGGUUAAUAUUCCAUUACUUCUGUGUAAUGCGAUGAGAGGACGGAGAAGGCUAAAUCAGCCUGGCGUUGGUUGUCCAGGUGAAAGGAUGUAGGCAUGUAUCUUAGGCAAAUCCGGGGUACUCUAUGCUGAGAUCUGAUAGCAAGCUGUACUUGUACAGCGAAGUGGUUGAUGCCAUGCUUCCAGGAAAAGUCUCUAAGCUUCAGUUACACAGGAAUCGUACCCGAAACCGACACAGGUGGUCAGGUCGAGUAGACCAAGGCGCUUGAGAGAACUCUGCUGAAGGAACUAGGCAAAAUGGUACCGUAACUUCGGGAGAAGGUACGCUGUUGUUGGUGAUGGAACUCGCUUCCUGAGCUGACGACAGCCGCAGAAACCAGGCCGCUGCAACUGUUUAUUAAAAACAUAGCACUCUGCAAACACGAAAGUGGACGUAUAGGGUGUGAUGCCUGCCCGGUGCUGGAAGGUUAAUUGAUGGGGUUAGCGUAAGCGAAGCUCUUGAUCGAAGCCCCAGUAAACGGCGGCCGUAACUAUAACGGUCCUAAGGUAGCGAAAUUCCUUGUCGGGUAAGUUCCGACCUGCACGAAUGGCAUAAUGAUGGCGGCGCUGUCUCCAGCAGAGGCUCAGUGAAAUCGAAAUCGCUGUGAAGAUGCAGUGUACCCGCGGCUAGACGGAAAGACCCCGUGAACCUUUACUGCAGCUUGACACUGAACUUUGACCUUACUUGUGUAGGAUAGGUGGGAGGCUUUGAAGCUGGAACGCUAGUUCCAGUGGAGCCGUCCUUGAAAUACCACCCUGGUAAUGUUGAGGUUCUAACUCUGUCCCGUGAUCCGGGACGAGGACCGUGUCUGGUGGGUAGUUUGACUGGGGCGGUCUCCUCCUAAAGAGUAACGGAGGAGUACGAAGGUGCGCUCAGCGUGGUCGGAAAUCACGCGUAGAGUAUAAAGGCAAAAGCGCGCUUAACUGCGAGACCCACAAGUCGAGCAGGUACGAAAGUAGGUCUUAGUGAUCCGGUGGUUCUGUAUGGAAGGGCCAUCGCUCAACGGAUAAAAGGUACUCUGGGGAUAACAGGCUGAUACCGCCCAAGAGUUCAUAUCGACGGCGGUGUUUGGCACCUCGAUGUCGGCUCAUCUCAUCCUGGGGCUGAAGCAGGUCCCAAGGGUAUGGCUGUUCGCCAUUUAAAGAGGUACGCGAGCUGGGUUUAGAACGUCGUGAGACAGUUCGGUCCCUAUCUACCGUGGGCGCUGGAAAUUUGAGAGGAUCUGCUCCUAGUACGAGAGGACCAGAGUGGACGAACCUCUGGUGUACCGGUUGUGACGCCAGUCGCAUCGCCGGGUAGCUAUGUUCGGAAGGGAUAACCGCUGAAAGCAUCUAAGCGGGAAGCCUACCUCAAGAUAAGAUUUCCCUAGGACUUUAUGUCCUCUAAAGAGCCGUUCGAGACUAGGACGUUGAUAGGUUGGAUGUGGAAGCAUAGUGAUAUGUGAAGCUGACUAAUACUAAUUGCUCGUGAGGCUUGACUA
rnacentral:rRNA from 1 species